rnacentral:rRNA from 1 species
UACAGAGGCCACGAGCGUUAGGCGGAAUCACUGGGCUUAAAGCGUGUGUAGGUGGAUGGCUAAGUACCUUGUGAAAUCCCACGGCUCAACCGUGGAACUGCUCGGUAUACUGGUCGUCUUGAGGCACUCAGGGGCGAGCGGAACAGAUGGUGGAGCGGUGAAAUGCGCAGAUAUCAGGAAGAACACCAAUGGCGAAGGCAGCUCUCUGGGACGGUACUGACACUGAGACGCGAAAGCGUGGGGAGCGAACAGG